GACGAACGCUGGCGGCGUGCUUAACACAUGCAAGUCGAACGGAAAGGCCCUGCUUUUGUGGGGUGCUCGAGUGGCGAACGGGUGAGUAAGACGUGAGUAACCUGCCCUUGACUUUGGGAUAACAUCAGGUAACUGGGGCUAAUACCGGAUAGGAGCUCCUGCUGCAUGGUGGGGGUUGGAAAGUUUCGGCGGUCGGGGAUGGACUCGCGGCUUAUCAGCUUGUUGGUGGGGUAGUGGCUUACCAAGGCUUUGACGGGUAGCCGGCCUGAGAGGGUGACCGGCCUCCUUGGGCCUGCGAGAGGGACCAGACUCCUACGGGAGGCAGCAGUGGCGAAUCUUGCACAGUGGGCGGAAGCCUGAUGCAGCAACGCCGCGUGCGGAAUGACGGCCUUCGGGUUGUAAACCGCUUUCGCCUGUGACGAAGCGUGAGUGACGGUAAUGGGUAAAGAAGCACCGGCUAACUACGUG
rnacentral:rRNA from 1 species